rnacentral:rRNA from 1 species
CGCGGCCUAUCAGCUUGUUGGUGAGGUAGUGGCUCACCAAGGCGACGACGGGUAGCCGGCCUGAGAGGGCGACCGGCCACACUGGGACUGAGACACGGCCCAGACUCCUACGGGAGGCAGCAGUGGGGAAUAUUGCACAAUGGGCGGAAGCCUGAUGCAGCGACGCCGCGUGAGGGAUGACGGCCUUCGGGUUGUAAACCUCUUUCAGCAGGGAAGAAGCGUGAGUGACGGUACCUGCAGAAGAAGCACCGGCUAACUACGUGCCAGCAGCCGCGGGAAUACGUAGGGUGCGAGCGUUGUCCGGAAUUAUUGGGCGUAAAGAGCUUGUAGGCGGUUUGUCGCGUCUGCUGUGAAAAUCCGGGGCUCAACCCCGGACUUGCAGUGGGUACGGGCAGACUAGAGUGUGGUAGGGGAGACUGGAAUUCCUGGUGUAGCGGUGGAAUGCGCAGAUAUCAGGAGGAACACCGAUGGCGAAGGCAGGUCUCUGGGCCACUACUGACGCUGAGAAGCGAAAGCAUGGGGAGCGAACAGGAUUAGAUACCCUGGUAGUCCAUGCCGUAAACGUUGGGAACUAGGUGUGGGUCUCAUUCCACGAGAUCCGUGCCGCAGCUAACGCAUUAAGUUCCCCGCCUGGGGAGUACGG